GCCGGGGUGGUGAAAUCGGUAAACACAGCGGACUUAAAAUCCGCCGGCGAUCAAAAGCCUUGGGGGUUCGAGUCCCCUCCCCGGCA
rnacentral:tRNA from 1 species